AAGUAUUUUUUACUUAGAAAUUCGACCCUUGAUAAAUCUGCCCCUAAAUGUUAUUUUUGGUUCUAUUACCAAAACAGGAGAUUGGGCAACAAUGGCUUAACCUGUCUCAUACUAAGGAGGCAUAAUCUCAUACAAUGUAUUAUAAUGCCUGUAACACCAAAUACAACUUGUUUAGCCAAAAGUUCGAGAAGUUUUAAUGUGGCAAUGCCUGCCAAUGUGUGGCAAAUUGGAAUGUUUUUUUUUUUACACAGCAUAAUCAAUAGACCGUCUGUGUUUGAUUGCUGUGGCUUGUGGCAAUGGUCAGAAUGCAACUACCUACCCUGGAUUGCUUCCCAUGCUGUUUAAUGAUUCUAAUGCUAGAGGAAUUGUGGCCCUUUCCUUUAUGAAGAAGCACUGAUAGAUAAUAUUCCUUGAUAUGCCCAAAAAAAGUAUAUGGUUUAUAAUGAUUUUGAUUAGAUACAUCCUACUAUUUUCCUACCGGCUUUUUCUAUAAUUGAUCAUGUCACCACUGAUGUCAUAAUGGUCACUCCAGAUAAACAACUUGCUUACUCAAUGCGUGAUCAUGUGACCACUGAUGUCAUAAUGCUUGCUCCAGAUAAACAAUAGCUGAUAUCUGUUAGUUGUGUCAGUGUGAGAGAGGAAGCUGAAGAGUGCAGAUGUGCAGUUGUGUCAGUGUGAGAGAGGAAGCUGAAGAGUGCAGAUGUGCAGGCUGUUUGAGGAGCAUCUGUAAAGAAAAUUGAGAACAGUGAGGAAUGGUAUUGGCAAGGAAAGAUGUUUAUGUGUGUCAGAACACCCACGCAUACCCCCCGGGAUGAAGUAUUCAACUGCAGGAAUAUCUGUCCAGCAAAAUCAUUCCUAUUUAGUAACGUUAGUGGUGGUAGCAGGUUUAUGAUAGUAAAGUUUAUGAUGUAGUUGUUGUUAGUGUUUUUUAUGCAUAAACUGUAGGUAUGUUUAUUCUUUAUAUAUAGAGCAUUAGCGCAUAGAGGUGUAGUAACUGAAUGGACUUGUCAACGUUUACGGAUUUUUUAUGGGUCACUUUAUACCCUUGGAGGGGGUAAUACUGCUGAACUGUGUAGAUGCGGCUUCUGUCCCUUGUUUGAUCUUGCAGUUCUGGAUUUCUGUUGAUGUAAUACAGAUUAUCUGUGGUGUUUAUAUCUUUCUUUAUAUAUAUUUUAAUAGUUUGCAGAAUUUUUAAUAGUUUGUAGUAUUUUCCUGUUGCAGCUUAUAAUGUGUAUAACUUGUAUAGCAUUAGUCGAGAGCAUACAUGCACAGGGAGCGGUGGCAUUGGAGGAGAGUGAACCUCACACAAGUCUUGGCCCACUGUUUAGUAACAUGUGGAAGUAAAAUAACUGGACUAUGCUGAAAUUCUACAGAAUUUAGCAACUCUCUUUAAAAUUCAAAAAUAUCAUCCCAUUUGGGGCUGAACAGUCUGGAAACAGAUACAGCACUAUGAUAACAUUUUCACAAAGGGCUGCGUCUGUGCUGAAAAAUUGCAAUAUGAAUUAGGAUUUGUGUUUAUGUCUUUGGUCUAGUUUCUGAUGAAUUUUGUGUAUCAAUUUUUGUGUUAGAGCAAAUAAAAUCUAUGGAUUGUUAAUUUCUUUAAAAUUCAU